AAAAAAUGCUGGUAGUUUUCUGUCUAAUUAUUCUUUUUUUUCAUUUGCUCUCAAAAUCUCUAAAUCUGAAAAAUGGCUAUUAAGAUAAUGAAAUUCAAACAGUCUAUCCCUCUUAAAGACAUUCAAAAAUGGCUUGUGAGUUUUCAUUUAGACGUCACAUUGGAAACCUCUUUCAAUAGUUUGAAGUCAGAGUGUUUAAUAAAACUGUAGAUUUUACAUGUUUUAUGUGUUAUUUACAUCUACGUUUAUUUGAUGUUUUGGUAAAAAUUACAUCGAGGUCAAAAUGGUUAAAAUGACUAAUACGUAUCUUAAAAUAGUUGCUGGUAGGCAAGUAAUUAAAAUUACUUUUAACUGACUUUAAAUGUUAGCUUGUAGUUGCUGUAGCUCUUUGUAGGUUUACAUGUAUUCAGCAUGAGAAGCAAAUCUAAAUCAUUAUAGAUGUAGAAAUGAUCAGUUAAACAGUGCAACAGAAGAGUUUGUUGGAUGUGCAUCAUGACAUGUUGAAUGUUGGGUUGUUUGGACGUUGGUGAUACGAAUUUAAUUAAAUGGUCAGUUUGUGACUUAGUCAAUAUCUCUGUAGCAAGGGGACAAAGAAGGCUGUUUAUUCUUAUCUUGGGUGGCUGUCAGAAGAAUUCAGAGACGCACUGCAGUAAUAUUUACAUAGCAGUUCUGCAGAGUUGCUCAACCAUUAAAAGCUCAUAUGUUGUUUUUCUCUGUGGUUUUACUCCUAGUAUAUCUGUGUUAUGCCAAAGUGAGCAUGGUGACAAUAACAAAAAAGUAUUCAGAGAGCCCUGACAACGAAAUACUUGUAGCCGUUUAGUUUAACAGUGCUCUUUUAGUGUUUCGAAUGUCACUGGCCUGCAGGUCUUUCCUGUUUAGCAAAGAGGCUAUUCAGGAAAAACUGAAGUUCAGUUUGUCCUUUUAGCACAUUUUUUUAGAAGAUGUUUUUUUAAGGAAAUGUGAGAAGCUUUUUUAAGACUUAUUGAGACCAAUACUGAACUAAAACAUAGUGAAAUUUAAAUAAAUACACUAAAUGGUC